rnacentral:rRNA from 1 species
CUAGCGACUUCAGAGUUUGAUCCUGGCUCAGGAUGAACGCUGGCGGCGUGCUUAACACAUGCAAGUCGAACGAAGCAAUUUAUCUAGAUCCCUUCGGGGUGACGGAUUUAUUGACUGAGUGGCGGACGGGUGAGUAACGCGUGGGUAACCUGCCUUAUACAGGGGGAUAACAGUUAGAAAUGACUGCUAAUACCGCAUAACCCGCUAGUGUCGCAUGACACAGACGGAAAAGAUUUAUCGGUAUAAGAUGGACCCGCGUCUGAUUAGCUGGUUGGUGAGGUAACGGCUCACCAAGGCGACGAUCAGUAGCCGGCUUGAGAGAGUGAACGGCCACAUUGGGACCGAGACACGGCCCAA